UACAGAGGUCCCGAGCGUUGUUCGGAUUCAUUGGGCGUAAAGGGUGCGUAGGCGGCGGGGUAAGUUUGAUGUGUAAUCCCGGGGCUCAACCCUGGAAUUGCAUUGAAUACUACCUUGCUAGAGUACCGGAGAGGAAACUGGAAUUUACGGUGUAGCAGUGAAAUGCGUAGAGAUCGUAAGGAAGACCAGUGGCGAAGGCGGGUCUCUGGACAGUUCCUGACGCUGAGACGCGAAAGCGUGGGGAGCGAACAGG
rnacentral:rRNA from 1 species